rnacentral:rRNA from 1 species
CCUACGGGAGGCAGCAGUGAGGAAUAUUGGUCAAUGGGCGCGAGCCUGAACCAGCCAAGUAGCGUGAAGGAUGACUGCCCUAUGGGUUGUAAACUUCUUUUAUCAGGGAAUAAAGUGCGGUACGUGUGCUUUUUUGCAUGUACCUUAUGAAUAAGGAUCGGCUAACUCCGUGCCAGCAGCCGCGGUAAUACGGAGGAUCCGAGCGUUAUCCGGAUUUAUUGGGUUUAAAGGGAGCGUAGGCGGGUUGUUAAGUCAGUUGUGAAAGUUUGCGGCUUAACCGUAAAAUUGCAGUUGAUACUGGCAGUCUUGAGUACAGUAGAGGUAGGCGGAAUUCGUGGUGUAGCGGUGAAAUGCUUAGAUAUCACGAAGAACUCCGAUUGCGAAGGCAGCAUACUGGACUGCAACUGACGCUGAUGCUCGAAAGUGUGGGUAUCAAACAGGAUUAGAUACCCGGGUAGUC